CAUUAACCCAAGGACCAAGUCCUGGCCCAUCACAAGGUUCCGUGUCCUGGUCUGUCUGAGGGUCCAUGUCCUAUCCCACCAUCAAGCCAAGGACCAAGUCCUGGUUCAUCACAGGUUCCGUGUUCUGGUGCAUCUGAGGGUCCAUGUCCUGUCGCACCUGAGGGUCCAUGUCCAGUCCCACCAUGCACCCAAGGACAUAUUCUGGUCCAUCACAAGGUUCCAUCUCCUGGUCCAUCUGAGGGUCCAUGUCCCAUCCCACCAUGCACCCAAGGACCAAGUCCUGGUUCAUCACAGGUUCCGUGUUCUGGUGCAUCUGAGGGUCCAUGUCCCAUCACAGGUGCCACCAUCCCAUGUCCCAUCCCAUCUGAGGGUCCAUGUCCUGUCCCACCAUUGACCCAUGGACCAAGUCCUGGUCCAUCCCAGGUUCCGUGUCCUGUCCUACCAUGCACCCAAGGACCAAGUUCUGGUCCAUCGUCCAUCACGGGUUCCGUGUUCUGGUCUGUCUGAGGGUCCAUGUCCUGUCCCACCAUUGACCCUAGAACAACAUCCUGGCCCAUCACAGGUUCCAUGUCCUGGUCUGUCUGAGGGUCCAUGUCCCGUCCCACCUGAGGGUCCAUGUCCCGUUCCACCAUCAACCCAAGGACCAAGUCCUGGUCCAUCACAAAUUCCGUGUUCUGGUGCAUCUGAGGGUCCAUGUCCCGUCCCACUAUGCACCCAAGGACCAAGUCCUGGUCCAUCACAAGUUCCGUGUUCUGGUCUGUCUGAGGGUCCAUGUCCUGUCCCACCUGAGGGUCCAUGUCCUGUCCCACCAUCAACCCAAGGACCAAGUCCUGGUCCAUCACAGGUUCCAUGUUCUGGUGCAUCUGAGGGUCCAUGUCCCGUCCCAGGUGCCAUCAUUCCAUGUCUUGGUCCAUCUGAGGAUCUGGGUCCUGUCCCACCAUUGACCCAAGGACCAAGUCCUGGUCCAUCACAGGUUCCGUGUUCUGGUGCAUCUGAGGAUCCAUGUCCCAUCCCACCAUGGACCCAAGGACAUGUUCUGGUCCAUCCCAAGGUCCCAUGUCCCAUCCCAUCUGAGGGUCCAUGUCCCAUCACAGGUGCCACCAUCCCAUGUCCUGGCCCAUCUUAGGGUCCAUGUCCCGUCCCACUAUGCACCCAAGGAUAUGUCCUGGCCCAUCACAAGGUUCCGUGUCCUGGUCUGUCUGAGGGUCCAUGUCCCAUCCCACCAUCAACCGAAGGACCAAGUCCUGGUCCAUCACAGGUUCCGUGUUCUGGCCCAUCUGAGGGUCCAUGUCCCAUCCCAGGUGCCACCAUCCCAUGUCUUGGUCCAUCUGAGGGUCCAUGUCCUGUCCCACCAUGCACUCAAGGACCAAGUCCUGGUCCAUCCCAAGGUCCCAUGUCCUGGUCUGUCUGAGGAUCUGGGUCCUGUCCCACCAUGGAGCCAAGAACCAUAUUCUGGUCCAUCCCAAGGUCCCAUGUCCUGGUCCAUUUGAGGGUCCA